AGUUGGGGCUGAUUAACCGGGUACAUGGUCGCAGUUAGCGGUUGGAUGGAUGAUAGUAAACCUACAGAGGCAGAACCUGCAGCUAUGGAGAGUUGACUGUAUUGUUCAAAACCUGUAGCCCUCAUCGAACAGAAUGUCGAAGUCUCCCAGAUGUGAAAUUACAGCUAUAUAGGUUACUCACUGCUCCCCAACUCCUUGGGUAAUUGGGAAGUCAGGACCUGAAAUCUGUGACUACUGAUGAGCAGCGAUUCAUCUGGCGUCCAGCAGGGGGCAGCAGGCAAAAAGUCAACAAUUGUGAGCGUCCUGCACCGUGGGCAAGCGGCCUGGAGGUGGUGCCCAAAAGCCCCUUGGCUGUGCUGUUCGUGCCGCACGUGCGUCCCUCCUGAAGAGCACACCCUUGGUUCCUUUCCUUGCAGCCUGAGGCUCCUGACUGUGGCGCUGAUGCCUGAGGAGGGAAAUAGCAGCAGAGAAGCUCUCGUUUUCCAGGAUGUUCUCAGGUGGGUGAUUCUUCACUGUCUCACUUCAUAUUUUAGCCAAAUUUACUACACAAAUGUAUCUAUCAACGAAGGGUAUAAUGGGUGGACAUCAGGUCAGGCUAUGAAGUUGUUAUGGAAUCAGGACUGUUUCAGGGAAAAAUCCUGACAGACUCCAAGGGCCUUUCACCCUGUGUAGCCUUCAGUGAGUGGGGCCUUUCCCUGGCUCUGUGAAGUCCCCAAACACCCACUCUCCACUGGCAGCCGGGCUGAGUUGUCCUUUAGACAUCUGAGCGCAUGCCUACAUGCACUGCUGCCAUGGUCACCUCAGAACACAGAAUGAGGGAAUGUUCUCCAGGGAGGGACCCAGCUGCAGCCACCCCUGUGGCACCUGAGAACCUGAACACCUGAUAGGUUACUGAGAGGAUUCAUUCCUUCCAGUGGACAGUUUUGGGAAGAGUAGCCAGUUCCACACUGAGAGUGACAAACCUGGUGUCAGUUGUCUCAGUGAUGUGGACCUGGUGAUUGGUGUCUGCCAGGGUCCCUUGUGUCUGGCAGCAGAGGGACUCUCUGGGUGUUUAUGCCCCCAUGAUCUCUAUCAGGUGUGUGGUGGGCCCAGUGUUGCCUGACAUAAAGAUUACUGUGUGUGUGUAUGUGUGAUGAGUGUGAGAUUGUGUGUGUUCCUUGCAUUUCAUGUGUAUUUAGUGUAUGUGUAUAGUUUCUUGUUAUAAACUCAUAUAUUUAGGAAUUGUAGGUUUAUUUCUAGCUAUAUUAUUAUAUAAUGUGUGUACAUAUUUUGUGUGUAUACAUUUCUAGAAACUAUGGUAGUAAUAAAUUCCUUCCUCUUAGGAUGUUGAAGCAUCCUGGACCCAAGGAUAUAUCCAUGCAAGUAAAGGGACAACUUUCUCUAUCUCUAGACUCAUAUGAGUAUUUAUGCAGUUAUGUGUGUACCUUAGAGGUUCUUUCAAUUUUUCUGCCCAUUUACACAAACGCACACAACUAAGUAUUACCACAAGAGGGUUGUUUUCACUAGGGGCAACAUACAGGUUUUUUUUUUCUAAACAUUUACUUAUUUUAUUUGCAAAGCAGUGAGAGUGAGAGAGAAAAAAAGACAGAGAAAAAUGGAAAGGCAGUGAGAGAAAGAGAGAGAGAGACCAUCUGCUGGUACACUCCCCACAUUGCUCCAGCAGCCAGGUCAAGGCCAGGAGCCAGGAGCUUCAUCUGGGUCUCCCACAUGGAUGCAGGGACCAUCUUCUUGGGCCAUCUUCUACUUUCCCAGGCACAUUAGCAGGGAACUGGAUUGGAAGUGGAACAGCUGGGACUCAAAUCAGCACCCAAAUGAUAUGCGGGCAUUGCAGGCGGCAGCUUAGCCCACUGCAUCACAGCACUGGCCCCACCAUACAGGUUGUGACCUGUUAUUGAUGAUCCCGGAGACAUCUGGAAACCUCAGAAAGGAGCUGGACUGAACAACGCUCUGGUUCCUAACCUGUCCUGGCCUUGUACGUGGGCAGUGCAGUCCCCAACCACCUCCUUUAGCUGCACUGACACUCUUAACCCUCAAGUGCUGGGACCUAAAUUAGCCUCCCUGCUUGUGCAUCUACUUGGGUCAGCAGGCCCAACAUGCAGCCUCUGUCCAAGUAAUUUUAAUGCUUUGGGAUUUAAGAAUGUUUUUGUUCAUGCAAACAUUAGUAAAGAGUAUUUUAUAGAUAUGACAUCAGUAGAGGGACUAAUGUAAAAGUGCUCAGUGAUUUAGAUGUGUUUGGCAGAGAGAAAUGGAGCUUGUUAUGUUUUUUCUCAUAGGGAUCAUCUAAGAAGUAAAUAGGCUCUAUAGUCUGUUUAAGAGAUUUAAGAUUGUAGUGAUUCAUAUUAUACCAUAGCCUCCUAGUUUUAACAAUAUGACCGCAAGGAAUAUUGACCUGGCAAUAGAGGCCAUGGGCUUCUGGUAAUCAUAGUUGAAGAUCAUAUAGGGACAUUUUUGCUUCUUACUAUCAAAGUUACUAUGCAUGGAUUUCCAUUUAAAUGUUAUUUAGUUUCCUCAUUGGGUAAUAAUUACUUGGGUUGAAAUUACUGUUGACGGCCGGCGCCGUGGCUCACUAGGCUAAUCCUCCACCUAGCGGCGCCGGCACACCGGGUUCUAGUCCCGGUCGGGGCACCGGAUUCUGUCCCGGUUGCCCCUCUUCCAGGCCAGCUCUCUGCUGUGGCCCGGGAGUGCAGUGAAGGGUGGCCCAGGUGCUUGGGCCCUGCACCCCAUGGGAGACCAGGAGAAGCACCUGGCUCCUGCCUUCGGAUUAGUGCGGUGCGCCGGCCACAGCGCGCCAGCCGUGGCAGCCAUUGGAGGGUGAACCAACGGCAAAGGAAGACCUUUCUCUCUGUCUCUCUCUCUCUCACUAUCCACUCUGCCUGUCAAAAAAAAAUUACUGUUGACUAAAGAGUAUAUAGAAUAUAAUUACUUCUGUGCCUGUGAAUGUCAUAAUUAAGAAUAUCUAUAGAAAGAUUAGUAUUUUAUCACUUUCAUGGAAGUUAUCCUUUAGAAAGGGGAUACUCACUCUGAUUUUUAAGGGAAACUGUGAGGUGGUAUCAGGAAGGAUCAGAGAGGAAGGUGGAUGAGAAACAGCUUAUUUUAUAAUUGGUUUAUUUAUAAUAAAUAGGAUUAUGAAGUAGUCUAUAAGCUGUGUGUGUUUAUGUUGAUUCAGAGUAUUGUGGUACUGAGUACAUUGUUAUGGGAAUAAGUGUAAUUGUAAGUUACAUAAUUUUUAUCGUAGGAGAAGGGUUAAGUUUAUACAUUAUCUAGACCAUAAGUGUUGGAUGCCAUUAUUAAUUGUGUUUAGCCCACAGUGGCUUCAUAGGCUACAAAUACUAGUAGGCAAUGAAUAUUAUACAUGAUACGAUAAAAUGAGCAUUUAGGAUUACAAGGGUUCCUAAAAUGAAUGCAUAUAAUAUUGUACCUUAUAAAGACAAAGGUGAUGAUAUAUAAGUAUACUGAUGAUAGUAUUUGUAAGGAUGCAACAUCUGCUAAAAUAAUAUUCCUAUAGGUUUGAAGGCAUAUUGGUGAUAAUAGAAUACCUUAACCUAAUGUGUUGAAAUAAUUAAUUUUAAUGAUUACACUCAUUCUAGUCUUUUUUGAAUUCAUUCAUAGGCUAGACCUAGGGCUAAAAUGGAAACUAUAAUUAGUUCUAUGGUAAGAGCAAGUGUUAGGUUUUUCUGUAGUACCCAUGGCAGGGGAAGUAAGAUGGUAGUAUCUAGGCUGAAUAGAAAGACUGUAAUGCCUAAAAGAGAAUUUUAUGGAUAAUGGCAGCUGGGCAGAGGCUAUAGGAUCAAAUCUAAAUAUUGUAUGGACUUUAUUUUUAUGUAAAUAUUUAAUUGCUACGACCAGAUUAUGGUGGUUCCAAGAAAUAGCACUACAGAUAUAUAGAUUGUCAGGGAGAGAGUAAGUUUCAUUAUUCUUUUUCAGGUUAAAACUGAAGCUAAUACAUUGGAAGCCAGUAGCAGUAGUUAACAUUAAAAGAAUAACAUACAUAACAUACUUAUGAUCCUCAUAAGUAAAGAGAGAUGUGUAAGAAUAAUCAGACUGUGUCCACAAAGUGUAUCAGGCAUCAGUUUCAAUGCCAAAAUGAUGGUUUCAUAUCAAAUUAAAUUUUAAUUGUUAUGAGAAAGUAAGAUCUAAAUUACAAAUAGGCCAUGGAAUCCUGUGGUUGUAAAGAAUGUUGAACCAUACACAACCUCAGAGAUGGUAAAAGAUAUAUUGAAAUAUUCUGGGGCUGGUGUUGUGGUGUAGCGGGUAAAGCUGCCACCUGCAAUGACGACAUCUCAUAUGGUCACCAGUUUGAAUCCUGGCUGCUCCACUUCUGAUCUAGCUCUCUGCUAUGGCCUGGGAAAUCAGUAGAAGAUGGCCCAAGUUCUUGGGCCCCUGUACCCACGUGGGAGUCCCAGAAGAAGCUCCUCUCUCCUGGCUUCUGAUUGGCACAUCUCUGGCCAUUGCGGCCAACUGCGGAGUGAACCACCUUUGGAAGGCCUUUCUCUCUCUGCCUCUCCUUCUCUUUCUCUGUAACUCUGACUUUCAAAUAAAUAAAUACAUCUUUUAAAAAAGAAAUAUUCUGAAGUUUGUAGAUGUAAAAUCAGCUCCAAGUUUGAUUAUAGUUAGUGGAGUUUGUAUGUUAUAUUUGUUUUCUUCUAUAAAAUUUUAGUGAGCUCGGGUAAUUGGUACUCCUGAGGUUAAUGUGUUUAGUAAAGAUAAUUCAAGUAGAUUAGGGCACAGAUGCUUGUUGGUAGGUUGUAGCUUUAGGACUAGGCAUAAUGGAUAGAAGGCUCAGAAUAAUCUUGUAAGGGCAAAAAACUGCUGAUAGAAUGAAAAAUUUCAUAUCUUAAUCCUUUUUUGAAAAUGGGAUUAUGAUGGCCCUUAAUUGUAUUGCUCUCAGACUAUAUCAUCAUCCUUGGUAUAUUGUUAUUAUUUUAGUUCCUAGGCUAGGAAUGGUAGAAUAGAAGAAUUAAAAUGGAAACCUAUCAUGAAGCUGUAUGAUAGAAACAGAGCUAACAAGGGGCUGGUUUUGUCAUGCAGCAGGCUAAGCCUCUACCUGCAGUGCUGGCUGGCAUCCCAUAUGGGUGCCAGUUCAUGUCCUGGCUGCUCUGCCUCCAAUCCUGCUCUCUGAUUCUGAAAUGGGGAAGCAAUGGAAGGAGGGCCAAAUCCUUUGUUCUCUACACCCAUGUGGGAGAUCCAGAAGAAGCUCCUGGCUCCUGACUUUGGUUCAGCCCAGCUCUGGCCAUUGCCAUUUGGGGAGUGAACCAGAAGAUGGAAGAACUUUCUCUCUGUCUCUCUCUCUCUCAAUUGGUAAUUCUACCUCUCAAAUUAAUAAAUAAAUAAAAUCUUUAAAGAAAAGCAACAGACCUGGCAAUGCCCUCUUUUGUGGUUGGAGCUGGUGUUAAUUAUAUGAUAGGCAUGAGUUUGAUGGGUCAUUAACCAUGAGAGUGGAAAUACAGAUGCUUGGAUUGGGGUUUCUGUGAGUUCAAGAACAUCUAGAAUUAGAAUAAAUGCGAUUAUAGCAGUUGCAGAACUGAUGCAUGUCAAGAUUAGAGGCCCCACCAAUACAAUGUAAGUGAAGAGCUAUAAUGCUAGCUGUUAAUUGGAUGGCUAGAGGUGUGGAUUAAUAGAUAGGCUAGUAGUUUCAAUAACUACUGUCAAAGGAAUAAAUGAGACAGGUGCAUCUUAAGGGAGGAAGUGGAUGAAAUGCUUUGGUUUUAUGGCAGAGGCCAGUAAUUACUGCUUCUGCUCAAAGAAUGAUAGCUAGUUGUGACAACUGAUAUUUGGGUUGUGUGUAAGCAUGUACAAGGUAACUGUCCUAGUUGAAUUGUAGAAUCACAGAAUAUGAGUGAGGUUAGUGUUAGAGGUUCAUACUUCAGUGCUGUCAUUCACUAUUUAGGAAUGAGUUGCACCCAUCACUGUUAAAGGUAGAUGCAUUGAUUGUUGGCUGGGCAGCUGGGAGAUGAGAAUAAAAUGUUAGGGGAUAAGAUGAUAAUUACGAUGUGGAAUCCUGUUACUGUAAGGGCAACAACAAAGGUGACUGCACUUUCAUUCAGUUUCUCAUGGAAUUUCAUCAUUGGUGAUCCAGUAUAUUUUGAUGUGUGUUUGAGGGUUAAAUACAUUUAGAGAAUUUUAGUUGAAGAAAUAAAUGUUGCUAAUUUUAUUGAGAUCCUAUUAAUUAAUUACAUUUGUGUGUCUAAUUGUGGCAUUUCAUUACUGAAAUAUUUUUGCUUUCAAUAUUGAAGUAUUAGAUUCAUAAUGAUGUAACACAGAUAUCUGUCAGUUUUCAAAGUGUUUUAGUAGUACUGGUUUGAAGACAUGGAGAUAUGGUUGGACCCAUACAUGUCAGAGCAUUUUCAUAGUAUAGACCAAGUAGGGUAUACGUGAAGGUUGCCUCAUGAAAGCAUCCUGGGAUGGGAAUUUUUUUGAAGAUUUAUUAUUUUUAUUUGAAAGUCAGAGUUCCACAGAGAGAGAAGGAGAGGCAGAGAGAAAGAGACGUCCUCCAUCCACUGGUUCACUCCCCAAUUGACUGCAAUGGCCAGAGAUGUGCCAAUCCAAAGCCAGGAUCCAGGAGCUUCUUCUGGGUCUUUCCACACUGAAGCAGGAGCCCAAGUACUUGGGACAUCUUCUAUUGCUUUCCCAGGUAAUAGCAGAGAGCUGGAUUGGAAGUGGAGCAGCUGGGACUCGCAGUGCUGCCUACAUGGGGGGCUGGCACUGUGGGUAGCAGCUUUCCCUGCUGUGCCACAGCCCUGGCCCCUGGAUUUGUUUUUAGAUGAAAUGGUGGAUCUGGUUGUGAGUGUAAGACAUCUUCAGAUAAAAGUAAUAUAUGGAUUGGUAUUUCUAUAGGUAUGAGGACUCCAUUAUCUACUGUGUGCAGUAAUAAUCCUUCUGGUUUUAAAUCUUCUAAGGGAGUAUAUAAGUGCCAAAGUUUAAGUCCCAAUUUCUGUGCAUUCAGAGCUUCAAUAUUUUUGGUGUCCUGUAUCUUUUAUGGUUAAGAAGGGUAGAUAAUUUCAUCUUUCCUAUGUAUAUAAUUUGUAAAUAUGAAUGUACAAAUAAGAUUUGAGUAAUAAUAAAUAAAUUAUAAAAGACAAUAAAUAGUGUUUCUUGGGGAUCUGCAGUUCUUUUUAUGGGUUAAUUUGGUUGUUAGCAUAGGUGAAAUAAUGUAAAGAAUUCAAUAGCUAGUUAAAAAUAAGAUUAGGGUGUAGUCAUGAAAGUAUAGUAGUUUUUCUAUAAUGGAUGAUGUAGCACCUUGGAAUACUAGUUGACACAGAUAUGUCAUAAGGAUAUGAAAAAUGUUAAACUAAAUUAACCUUGACAAAGUUAUGUAAUAUUUUACUUAUAUUUUUAUCAAGGAAGAGUUUUAAGGGAUUUGAUUCAUUCCUUUUUUAAAAAUAUUUUUUACAAGCUUUUAUUUAUUUGAGAGGCAGAGUUAUGGACAGAGAGAGGGAGAGACAGAGAAAAACAUCUUCCGUCCUCUGAUUCACUCCCCAAAUGGCCACAACAGUUGGAACUGCACCAGACCGAAGCCACUUGUCAUGAGCCUCUUCUGGGUCUCCAGUGCAGGUGAAAAGAUACAAGACUUCAGCCAACUUCCACUGCCAUCCCAGGCCAUAGCAGUGACUUGAAUCAGAUUUGGAGCAGCUGGGACUCAAAUCGGCACCCAUAUGGGAUGCUGGCACUGCAGGUGGCAGCUUUACUGGCUCACCGCAAUGCUUGCUCCUAUGUAUUUUUUUUUUUUUGAUUUUACAGAUAGAGUUAGACAGUGAGAGAAGGAGACAGAGAGAAAGGUCUUCCUUCCAUUGGUUCACCCCCCAAAUGGCCACUAUGGCCGGAGCUAUACCAAUAUGAAGCCAGGAGCCAGGUGCUUCCUCCUGGUCUCCCAUGUGGUUGCAGGGGCCCAAGCACUUGAUCCAUUUUCCUCUGCCUUCCUAUCCACAGCAGAGAACUGGACUAGAAGAAGAGCACCUGGGACUAGAGCCCGGUGCCCAUAUGGGAUGCCAGCGCUGCAUGUGGAAGAUUAACCAAGUGAGCCACAGUGCCGGCCCCCUCUAUUUUUUUAAUAUUUAUUUUAUUUAUCUGAAAGGCAGAGUUACAGAGAGAAGUAAUGACUAAGAGGGUGAUAGGUUUUCUAUCCUCUGGUUCAAUUGACAAUUGGCUGAAGUGGCCAAAGCUGAGAUACCAAAUCCAGGACUCAUGAGUUUCUUCUGGGUCUCCCAUGUGAGUACAGGGGCCCAAGGAUUUGGGCCAUCCUCUUCUGCCUUCUCAGGUGCAUUAGCAGGGAGCUGGAUCAGAAAUGGAGCAUAUGGGACUCAAACUGGCUCCCAUAUGGGAUUCCGGUGCUGCAAGCCAGGGCUUUAAGCUGCUGUGCCACAAUGCCAGUCCCAGGAGAAUUAUAACUAUAAAUAAUAAUUAUCAUACAAAUGGUGGUGCUGGGUAUUUGAAUAUAGUAAGUGAUUUAAUAUCAACUAUUAUGAUGAUGAAAUUAGUGGCUCUAAAAUUUGUUGAGACACCUGCCAGGUGAAGUGCAAAGAUAGUAAAUUUACCAAAGCUCCUAUAUGUGCUAGAUUAUUGGCUGCAGGUGGCUAAACUGUCUAUCCUGUUCCCAUAUCAGCUUCUACUAUAGAGAAAACAAGUAGUGAUGAAAAUAUGGGAGUAAUAAUACAAAGCAGAUUGUUUACUUGAGGAAAUGUUAUAUCUGGGGCUCUGGGCAUUGUAAAUUUGGACAGUGUGGGCAUAUUUGAUUGAGUCAAAUGUGAAGCCAUGACUUAGAUGGCAUACAGUGUUUAUAUUCUCAUGUGCUUUCUAGUGGAAUAAGGUGUAUUUUGUCACAUGUCCAUGUUCUUUGAAAGUGAUUUUGCAUUUUGGUGGGCUUGCACAUCAUAUGUGACUUUGGGGAUAUGCCAUCCUCAGUACAGGUUUGUGGUUAUGUGAGCAGAUUAUAGGUGGAAAUGUGUAGUCAUAUUUGGUUGGGUGUCUGUUCUUCAUUGACCAAUGUGUCUAUCCUGACAAUACUACAUGGGCUUAAUUGGUUAACAGAAAAGUGUUGACAUGGAAGGCACUUAAUUCCCAUUUUUUGAAAUUGUUUCAGUUAGUGUCUUUGCUUGUCCACAUUUGAUUUUAUUUUAAAAAAUGUGCAUACCAUUUUAAACUGGGGAAGUUAUGUAACUUGCUUUUUCCAUUUAAUAUUUCAUCACCUGUGAUUUCCCCAUUAAAACACAAAUGAACUACAGAUCCAGAGUACUGUGGGCAUGGACAUAUUGGAAUUUAUGUAAGGUACGUUCUCUCACUGAAUGCCUGAAAUCUCCACUGCUCGGAAUUCCUUAUUAUAAUGGAUAAUACUAAACUAGAAUCCUUUAAACCUUUCUUUAAAUAAACACAGAAAUUGUAUGUGUUUCUAGGGCACUGUGUAAUGGGCUGGCAGCAUCCUUUGCACACACUCACUCACAGAGAUGAUCUCAUAGCAUUGGCUGUUUUCAUGUUGCUUGUUUGUUAUGUUUAAAUUUCAUGUGGUCGUGUUCAUCCGUCAUUAUCUUUUUUGUCCUCUGGGCUUUGUUUUAUGCCUGAAAGCCCCUCUUCAGUCUGUAAUGCCAGGAUUUGUUGUUGCUGGGAGUGCUAGGGUUUCAAUGUGGGUGGCCUAAGACACAUGGUUUCUAGUUGUUUCUCAGUGAGCCAGUCCUCCAUGUAGCUACAUUGGCCUCUCUAGGCAAGGGAGUUUUAGGCAGAGCCAGCUUUGUAAUAGGACAUAGUGUUCAGGGUCUGGGGCUUUCCCUGGCUUUUGUAAGUCUGGAACAUCCUCCUUGAAGUCUCAUCCUGGAGGGUUGUCCAUCUAGUCUGGUGCCAUGCUAUACCAUACCUAUGUGUACUGUCUCCAUGGUGAAGUGAGAACACAAUGUGAGAGAAUGUUCUUAAAGUAGAGGUCCAGUUCCUGCCAGACCUAUUGGCACUAGAGAGUCUAAGCUCUUUGACUUAACCAAAAGGUGGUUUUCCUUCUACUGAACAUCUUUGGAAAGAAUGGUCAGCUCUCUAAUGAACUACCUGCUGCCAUAGGUAGUUCAGUGACAUGUCCCUGGUGAUUGGUGUGGCCAUGAAUCCAUAGCCAUUGCAGUGAAAGGAUUCCUUGGGUGUGUACCCUCAAUAUUGCCAAUACUGGAGGGAAGGGCCAAAUGGGCAGUAGACAAAGGAAGUAAAUGUGUGUGUGUGUGUGUGUAUGUGUGUGAGACUGUGUGUUUUAAUGUGCUGUGUGUCUUAUUUGUAUAUGUAUAAUUUCUUAUACAUGUGGGAUAAGAUGUCUUUCUAUUUUACUUGUUCCUGUGGUGUACAUGUUGUAUGUAUUUGUGUUUGUAUACAUUUGUAGAAAUGAUGGCAUUAAUGUAUUCUUUUCUGCUAAGGAGUUGAAGCAUCCUGGAUGCAGGAAUACAACUCAACAGGCAAAGGAACCAUUUUUGCUAUGUUUAUAGAGUGGUACAAGUAGUCAGAUAGUGAAGCAUGUAUCUUUAGGAGUUUGUUCAAUGUUUAUGUACAUUUUAAGGUGUAUUUUUGCCAGGAUUUCUCCAAGAGCACUAUUUUAGCUAUGAAUAGUAUACAGAGCAGAGCCUGCCAAUCAUGGGCCAGGAGAAGUGUGGAACGCAGUCUGGACUGAAGUCAUAUGAGCCUUUGGCUGACCAUUGUCCUUCCUGUCCUGGAAAGCAUGGGGGCCAUAAACAACCAAAGAGAGCCUUGGAAGUUCCAAGUUAUCAUCAGGGCACUCUCACGUGGCAGACCUGUACCACCAGACUUAUGUCAUCAGAACUCAGGCCUACAUAGACUACCUCCAAGUCAGCCUCAGAACAUAGCUCUCUUCAUGGGAAAAUUCUCCACAAAGAGGCACAACUUCAGUUCGUUUGACAUCUGAGUCGCUCAGGCUCAUAGCUGAUUCAAAGGAUGUAUUUUACUUUGGUGGACAGAGUGGCCAUCUUCCCACCAAGAUUCAGAUUCCUGUUGUCAGGGCUGUUUUAGUGAAAAGGCCCUGGUUAUUGGUGUGCACUAAGGGCCCCUGGAAUGGACAUUGAAGGGCCUCCAGGUGUGUUAUGCUCUAAGCUUGCCAGUGAGGUGUGGAGGGCCCCAUGCCUCCUGGACAAAUAGUCUAGAUACACUACAUGUGUGUCUAU